GAGGUUUGAGGCCCCGUUUUGCUGCUCACUAGCUACAUGAUCUUGGGCAAGUUAUUUAAGCUCUCUGAGCUUCAGUUUCUUCCUCUGCAGAAUGGGGAUGAAAGUGGACUACUACCUCAUGGCAUGUUUUGAGGAUGAAAUGAGCUAAUAAACACAGUCUUCAGCCCUACAUUAGGAUGGCCUAAGGAAAACAAGAAGACUGAAUGAUAUUCCCUGGUUCUCACUCUGUCAUCCAAGCUAGAGUGCAGUGGGGUAAAACACGGCUCACUGCAGCCUCGAUCUCUUGGCUCAAGCUAUCCUCCUGCCUCAGCCUCCUGUUUAUCUGGGACCACAGCUGACUUAUAUAAGUUAUUAGUCUUCUAGAAGGAUCACAAGGAACCAGCAUCAAAGAAAUGGAAUCCAGCUAAUUCCCCCAAGAAACUGAAGUUUUCGGGACAUGACUUGUGAAAGGCAAACAUAAGCUGACAUCUUUUCACACUGAACAGCAAGAGCCAAAGUGUAUCCGAAAAGCCAUUGUCAAAACAAGGAGUGAGAACAGCUGGGGUCAAGACCUAAUGAAGGGCAUCACUCAGCCUCUUUGAGCCUCGGAUUCCUCAUUUGUAAAGUGGGCAUAAUAAUACCUCACAGGGUAGUUAUGAGGGCAAAUGAGAUAAUGGACACGAAGGCACCUGUACACUCCACGGUGCUAUCAGAAUAUUGACUAUUAGUGCUUUCAUCACGCGGCUCCAUCCAAACCCCUGCUUUCCCUCACUCCAAAAUUAUUCCUUUGCAGGUGGUGCAAAGGAUCAGCACGGGAGUUUUGACCUGCUCCGUUUCCGACCUGGGUCGGUUCACCCCUCCUUAG
rnacentral:lncRNA from 1 species